GUUCACUUGGAUGUCUCGCCAUCCAUUAAAAGUGUCUCCCGUUGCAUACCCGUGUUCCAUUAUGAAUAUUUAUUCUUCGAUCUUCAAGGCUCCUCUGAGUUACUAAGUAAAGGAUUAACUAUGCCUAACACUUGGUAAGGAACUCGACUGGAGGCCUCGAAUUGCCUAGGAUUAAAAGCCUGGACGGACCUCAGACUUGAAU
rnacentral:lncRNA from 1 species